rnacentral:rRNA from 1 species
AUUGAACGCUGGCGGCAGGCUUAACACAUGCAAGUCGAGCGCGCCGCAGACGGGUGAGUAAUGUCUGGGACACUGCCUGAUGGAGGGGGAUCAACUCUGGAAACGGUCGAUUAUCCCGUAUACUCUCAGAUGUCCCCAGAUGGGAUUAGCUAGUAGGUGGGGUAAUGGCUCACCUAGGCGACGAUCCCGCGCUGGUCUGAGAGGAUGAUCAGCCACACUGGAACUGAGACACGGUCCAGACUCCUACGGGAGGCAGCAGUGGGGAAUAUUGCACAAUGGGCGCAAGCCUGAUGCAGCCAUGCCGCGUGUGUGAAGAAGGCCUUCGGGUUGUAAAGCACUUUCAGCGGGGAGGCGUUACUCGCAGAAGAAGCACCGGCUAACUCCGUGCCAGCAGCCGCGGUAAUAC